UUCGGAGCUGGGGCCUUGCACUUCCUAGGCAAGCGCUCUACCACUGAGCUAAAUCCCCAACCCCCUGCUUCAGCUUUUGAAGGGAGCUUUUAGCGGACACACCUGCCAUGCCAAGUGUAGUUGGAACAUUGACCCCAAGGAGAAACGUCCUUCUUUCAUCCAGUAGGUUGGAGUUUCCAAACCAGACCCCGCACUCUUAGACCUAACCAGGAGGGCAGACUUGUCGGUUUGAUUUUUCCACUCGAUGUUACUUUCAGAUGGCCACGCGGCGAAUUCCCUUUGAGGUUUCCAGUCUUAUAACGCAAGUCUCAGCACACUUUGCUCUGCAACAUCUCAUCUGUAGAAAAUCCCCAAGUCUCCGAGGCGUCGUCGUUUACUCAUCAUGGCACCCUGAGAAUCCCAGCAGGCUCAGGAAUCAGCUCAAACGCGGGGAUUCGCUCUGCCGAAGCCCUUAUUAGCUAAAAGCCUGGAAAGCAGAGUGUAGUCAAUUCUGAAUCGAGCAUGAGAGAUCCCAACUCAAGAGCGUGAUCCAAGGUCCCUGGAAUGACACACUUCCUAUGGAGGAGAGUCACAUGAAUUUUUAAGGUCACCGAACUUAAAAGAGACAUAGGCCAAUACAUUUGCCUAUGACAUUGGUAGGAUCCUCAUAUGAGCAGGCGACAGUGAAGAGGGGAGAGGAGAAACCGGACGUGAAGGCUUUACGAUGGAGAUAGAGGUCCCAUAAGCUCAGCAAGCCAGUCAACAGAUGUGCCUGUUAAUCGGAAGGAUGUCAGCUAUAAAGACACACUCAGCUCUGGUGCGUGGUGCACACACCUGUGCGCCCAGUACUCAGGAGGCAAGGAAACACUGGAUUAUUGUA
rnacentral:sRNA from 1 species